GCUAGAUUUGCUAGGCCUCGUAGCGUUGUUCUUCACGAAAACGUGUUACUGUUACGAUGCUUCGAGACUUAAUCGCGUAUAAAUUAAGGACGGCGAGGCGCAGCUGCGUUGGCUGCUACUUCUCAUCCUCUCUCUUCGCACCGUUUUCGGUGCCCUCCGAGGCUCUGACGGCAAGAUGACCACUUCAAGGCGCCUACCAGACAGGAAAGUUGCAAAAUUUCAGAAAAAUAUAAUGAAGAGGGGGUCUGUUCCCGAGACAAUGGUUAAAAAGGGAAAUGACUAUCCUGUUGGGCCAAUUCUGCUUGGGUUCUUUAUCUUUGUGGUCAUUGGAUCAUCUAUAUUUCAGAUAAUCAGGACUGCUACGAGCGGUGGGAUGGCCUAAAGCAAAUGACGGACAAACUCCUCAAGUUGGUGGUUGAUAGUACAAGUUUAAACCUAAUGUAAACUCUAUAUGCAAAGAAAUGUUAGGGAGAAGCUCUGUGAUGUCGUCUUGUUUCCGUUCCUGACAAUAUCAGGUUUGGAUAAAAUAGUUAAAGGUGCCUUUCCACUCCAACUCUAUCGGUGUUGCUUACCCUAGUCUCUCCUCUCAUAUCUUCAGUUAUAUAUUCUGCUAUUUAAACAUAAUAACAGGAGAAUGAUAACAUUUUUAUCAAAAAA